GAUGAACGCUAGCGGCAGGCUUAACACAUGCAAGUCGAGGGGCAGCAUAAAGAGAUGGCAACAUUUUUGGUGGCGACCGGCGGACGGGUGCAUAACGCGUAUGGAACCUACCCAUAACAGGGGGAUAACGGAGAGAAAUUUCCACUAAUACCCCAUAACAUCAGAGGCGGCAUCGCCUUUGGUUAAAAAUUCAGGUGGUUAUGGAUGGCCAUGCGUUGUAUUAGCUAGUUGGUAAGGUAACGGCUUACCAAGGCGACGAUACAUAGGGGGACUGAGAGGUUAACCCCCCACACUGGUACUGAGACACGGACCAGACUCCUACGGGAGGCAGCAGUGAGGAAUAUUGGUCAAUGGGGGCAACCCUGAACCAGCCAUGCCGCGUGCAGGAAGACGGCUCUAUGAGUUGUAAACUGCUUUUGUACGAGGGUAAACGCACUCACGUGUGGGUGUUUGAAAGUAUCGUACGAAUAAGGAUCGGCUAACUCCGUGCCAGCAGCCGCCGCAGUAA
rnacentral:rRNA from 1 species